GGGUUAGGCAUUGACCUCGAGUGGUUAAGGAUAACCGAUUGGUCAGGGGAUUGGACCUGUACAUGUAAGCAUGGAUGCCUGGCCAAUAGUAGUGUGUGAAUGCUAUUUAAAGGGCAGGUCUUGGCGUGGCCAUAGUAGGAUUCGUAAAAUUCUCUGCCAGGACAUUUGGU